rnacentral:lncRNA from 1 species
UGUACUACUUGCCCUUCUCCAAACUUCUCCUGGGAUUUAUUUUUAAAUUUUGGGGUUGCGGGGAGUCUAGUCCGGGGCCUAAUGCCGGCUUGCAGGCCUUGCGCGCAGAGGCCUCCCACCAGCUAGGUUACAGCACACACUGCUGUUCUUUGUGGGGGUGGGGGGGAGAAGGGUCCUUUCCCUCUAACCCAGGGGUCUGCAACCCACAGGUCUGGAGCCACUGCUGCUGCUCUUCGUCCUCCUCCUCCUCCUCCUCUUCUUCUUCUUCUUCCUCCCUCUUCUUCUCCUUUUUCCUCCUCCCCCUCCCCUUCUCCUUCUUCCUCUUCCUCCUCUUCUUCCUCUUCCUCCCUCUCCCGCUCCCUUCCUUCUUCCUCCUCCUCUCCCUCCUCCUCCUCCUCUUCUUCUUCUUCUUCUCCUUCUCCUUCUUCCGGGGCCUCUGUUGUGCCUCCCUGUCGGCGGAUCCCACCACUGGCUGGUCCCUCCCCUUCCUGUCACACCUCACCUGGCCUGAGAAGGUAAGGGUGACGCUGGGAGACAUGAAGACUCCCGCUCCAUAUUCCAGAGCACGAGAGUUGACCGGGGUGGGAGAGAGUCACGCCAGGGGUUAAAUUUAUCGGGCUCCCUGGUGUUUUCGGUGGGGGGGGGAAACGGGUCCAAAUGGCUCUUUUGAGGGUUUAAGGUUGCAGACCCCCCCCCAACCAGCCCCCCCCCCCCCGGUGAGUUUUUGAGUGGGGAGGGGGCGCUUGCAUUUCCAGCAGUGCACCCCUUGAUCGCAUCCAGAGGUGGGAGGGCAAGGGAGGUUGGGCCGGGCGGAGCAAGAACACGCACCAAAGGUAUAUUUGGGGUGGUUUUUUCCUCCCCCACCCCAACACCCCCCAAGCAGGAGGCUCUGGGUUCUUUUUUGGGGGGGGGGAGAACAUUGGGGGCAGAAGGGGGAAAGUCGCUGACAUGUACAUAGUGGCCGAUCUUUUGCACUUUGUCACUGGGGGGGGGGGCGCGUACGCGGAGGGGUGCGCUCCGGUGAUUGUUGACCGUUUGCUACUGAAUGUAACUCGUUUUUAUUUUCCUUAUUUUUUUUUUUUAGAAAAGCACCUCUAGCUAGUUUUUACGGCACUUUAGAUAUUUACUGAAAUCUGUUUAAGGAAACUACAGAAAAGCAAAAAAAAAAAUAAAAAAAUAAAAGGGAGAGAGAGAGGAAAACA